AGGGUUUGAUCAUGGCUCAGCGCGAACGCUGGCGGCAUGGUUAAAGCAUGCAAGUCGAACGGUUAAAGCCCCUUCGGGGGUGUAUAAAGUGGCGAAAGGGCGAGGAAUACGUUCCUACGUACCCCGAGGUCGAGGACAGCCCAGGGAAACCCGGUGUAAUACUCGAUGUGGUCCCGGCUUUGUCGGGAUCAAAGGCUUCGGCCGCCUUGGGAGCGGGGAACGUCCUAUCAGGUUGUUGGUGAGGUAACGGCUCACCAAGCCGACGACGGGUAGCGGGUGUGAGAGCACGGCCCGCCGCAUCGGGACUGAGACACUGCCCGGACUCCUACGGGAGGCUGCAGCAACGAAUCUUCCGCAAUGCGCGAAAGCGUGACGGAGCAAUGCCGCGUGCAGGAUGAAGCCCCUCGGGGUGUAAACUGCUGUCAGGGUGUAGCAACCCAAUGAGCGAACCCAAAGGAAGGGCCGGCUAACUUCGUGCCAGCAGCCGCGGUAAUACGAAGGGCCCAAGCGUUGCGCGAAAUUACUGGGCUUAAAGCGUACGUAGGCGGGCACGCAGGCACCUUGUGAAAGCCCUCGGCUCAACCGAGGAAUUGCUUGGUGAACCGCGUGCCUUGAGGCAAGUAGGGGCUGUCGGAACGAUAGGUGGAGCGGUGAAAUGCGUUGAUAUCUAUCGGAACGCCGAAGGAGAAAUCAGGCAGCUGGGCUUGUUCUGACGCUGAGGUACGAAAGCGUGGGGAGCGAACGGGAUUAGAUACCCCGGUAGUCCACGCCGUAAACGAUGUGCACUAAGAUCGAGGGGUUCC
rnacentral:rRNA from 1 species